rnacentral:rRNA from 1 species
GACGAACGCUGGCGGCAUGCUUAACACAUGCAAGUCGAACGGCAGCGCGGGGAGCUUGCUCCCUGGCGGCGAGUGGCGGACGGGUGAGUAAUGCGUAGGAAUCUACCUUACAGUGGGGGAUAACCCGGGGAAACUCGGGCUAAUACCGCAUAAUCUCUACGGAGCAAAGCAGGGGACCUUCGGGCCUUGUGCUGUAUGAUGAGCCUACGUCGGAUUAGCUAGUUGGUGGGGUAAAGGCCUACCAAGGCGACGAUCCGUAGCUGGUUUGAGAGGACAAUCAGCCACACUGGGACUGAGAAACGGCCCAGACUCCUACGGGAGGCAGCAGUGGGGAGUAUUGGACAAUGGGGGAAUCCCUGAUCCAGCAAUGCCGCGUGUGUGAAGAAGGCCUUCGGGUUGUAAAGCACUUUCAGCGGGGAAGAAAGAACCAAAAUUAAUACUUUUGGGUGUUGACGUUACCCGCAGAAGAAGCACUGGCUAACUCUGUGCCAGCCGCCGCCGUAA